AUAUUUUGAAGAACUGACAGAUGUCAUGGUGAAAUAUCAUCUACAAGACAAGCCUCACUUGAUUUUCAACAUUGAUGAAAAAGGGGUGACACCAAAUCACACACCACCUUCGGUAAUUGGAGUGAAAGCUGUCUUCCACGUGACUUCCGGUGAGCUCAUCAUAAUAUAUGCUAAUGAUGUCCAGCUAAAGUAGACCUCUACUUCAGCGACACAAUAUGGCGGGUGCCCGUCAACCGAUCACAUGUACUUGAAAUCUGACUCUACCAAGGUCAAUCUUCUUGGCUUUAAAUCACGUGGCAGUAUCGUGAAACAGAAAGUAGAAAUGUCUGGAGUACGUCGCUAUGCUAUUAACAAAAACAAAACCUGCUUUACUAAA